rnacentral:rRNA from 1 species
GACGAACGCUGGCGGCGUGCCUAAUACAUGCAAGUCGAACGCUGAAGGAGGAGCUUGCUCUUCUGGAUGAGUUGCGAACGGGUGAGUAACGCGUAGGUAACCUGCCUGGUAGCGGGGGAUAACUAUUGGAAACGAUAGCUAAUACCGCAUAAAAUUGAUUAUUGCAUGAUAGUCAAUUAAAAGGUGCAAUUGCAUCACUACCAGAUGGACCUGCGUUGUAUUAGCUAGUUGGUGAGGUAACGGCUCACCAAGGCAACGAUACAUAGCCGACCUGAGAGGGUGAUCGGCCACACUGGGACUGAGACACGGCCCAGACGCCUACGGGAGGCAGCAGUAGGGAAUCUUCGGCAAUGGACGGAAGUCUGACCGAGCAACGCCGCGUGAGUGAAGAAGGGUUUCGGAUCGUAAAGCUCGGUUGUAAGAGAAGAACGAGUGUGAGAGUGGAAAGUUCACACUGUGACGGUAGCUUACCAGAAAGGGACGGCUAACUACGUG